GCUGGAAGAGCCAAGGUAGGCUAGGGCAGAACUCUUGGAGCAGAGAUGACAACAAUAAACUGAGAACAAUGCUUGUCCUUUAUUAACGAUCCCAGAGAGACAAGGACAGUACCCUUUACAAAGCCAAUUGGAAGGGGCAUGGAGAGUCAACCAGCAGUACAGUGUUGAGAAGAAGCAAUCAUGGUAACAGCAGCUUAAACGAAGUGGAAGUUUCUCUUUCUUACAUUUCAAGAGG